UUUAUGUUGACUUUUGACGCGGCAAGAGCCAUGGGAUGUGUGAGGUCAUUACUUAAAUCCAGAUGGAAUGCUCUCUUUCUUCCCCAUAAUCUUCCUUCACAAUAAAAAAAAAACAAGAGAAAAGUUAAUCAUCAAGAAAAUCUUUGACUUUUCUUUGUGAUCGACGAAGAUGGCCGAUGCUUUCACCGAUGAGCAGAUCCAAGAGUUCUACGAAGCCUUCUGUCUCAUCGACAAAGACUCCGAUGGGUUCAUAACGAAGGAGAAACUAACGAAGGUGAUGAAGUCUAUGGGGAAGAGUCCAAACGAGGAACAACUUCAAGAGAUGAUGAGCCAUGUCGACAUCUUUGGCAACGGAGGCAUCACCUUUGAUGACUUCUUGUAUAUAAUGGCUCAAAACACCUCUCAGGAAGCGGCAUCGGAUGAAUUAAUAGAAGUAUUCAGAGUGUUUGACAGAGACGGAGACGGUGUCAUAUCCGCACUCGAGUUGGGAGAAGGAAUGAAAGACAUGGGGAUGAAGAUAACGGUGGAAGAGGCGGAGCAUAUGGUGCGAGAAGCGGAUCUGGACGGCGAUGGUGUUCUCUCUUUCCACGAGUUCUCCAAAAUGAUGAUCGCUGCCUCUUAUUAGCAUUUUAUAUAUCCCUAUAUAAAAGCUAUGAUAUAAGGGGGUUUGUUUCGGUGAUGCUCUGCUCUUUUGAGUUUGCAAUUUCUAAUAAAGCUUCAGAUGAUAAAAAGUGGGUUUGUUUAAGCACUUAUUAACUACUAUUCAGUAUGUUAAACUUAAAACACAGAUCAAAUCGUAUGUUAAAUUAUUUUCCCAACA